UGAGGAAUAUUGGUCAAUGGGCGGGAGCCUGAACCAGCCAAGUCGCGUGAGGGAAGACGGUCCUAUGGAUUGUAAACCUCUUUUGUCGGGGAGCAACAACGUCUCGUGAGACGAAAGCUGAGAGUACCCGAAGAAAAAGCAUCGGCUAACUCCGUGCCAGCAGCCGCGGUAAUACGGAGGAUGCGAGCGUUAUCCGGAUUUAUUGGGUUUAAAGGGUGCGUAGGCGGACUGGAAAGUCAGCGGUAAAAUUGAGAGGCUCAACCUCUUCCCGCCGUUGAAACUGUCGGUCUUGAGUGGGCGAGAAGUAUGCGGAAUGCGUGGUGUAGCGGUGAAAUGCAUAGAUAUCACGCAGAACUCCGAUUGCGAAGGCAGCAUACCGGCGCCCGACUGACGCUGAGGCACGAAAGCGUGGGUAUCGAACAGG
rnacentral:rRNA from 1 species